rnacentral:rRNA from 1 species
GAUGAACGCUAGCGGCAGGCCUAACACAUGCAAGUCGAGGGGUAGAACACUUCGGUGUUUGAGACCGGCGCACGGGUGCGUAACGCGUAUGCAAUCUACCUUGUACAGGGGAAUAGCCCAGAGAAAUUUGGAUUAAUGCCCCAUAGUAUAUAACCUUCGCAUGUUGGUUAUAUUAAAGUUCCAACGGUACAAGAUGAGAAUGCGUCCCAUUAGUUAGUUGGUAAGGUAACGGCUUACCAAGACGAUGAUGGGUAGGGGUCCUGAGAGGGAGAUCCCCCACACUGGUACUGAGACACGGACCAGACUCCUACGGGAGGCAGCAGUGAGGAAUAUUGGUCAAUGGGCGCAAGCCUGAACCAGCCAUGCCGCGUGCAGGAAGACGGUCCUAUGGAUUGUAAACUGCUUUUAUACAGGAAGAAACCCUCCCACGUGUGGGAGAUUGACGGUACUGUAGGAAUAAGGAUCGGCUAACUCCGUGCCAGCAGCCGCCGUAAAAC